CACCCCUGGCAAUUAGCGAAGAGACACCUUGGUGUUGGUGUGGUUCUUGUAUCAGUCAGGAGCAGAGCAGGUGGUAUCUCCUUUGUUCAUCCUAGCUUGAUGCCUGGCUUGGUAGCCAAAGAUGGUUUCUACCUAGGACUCAGAA